rnacentral:misc_RNA from 1 species
UUUCCGUAGGUGAACCUGCGGAAGGAUCAUUAGUGAAAUUCGAGCGCUUCUUAAUUGAAGGCUCAACUUCCACUUUCUAACACCUGUGCACAAAUUGAGGUACUUGAAGAAAAUUGCUUUGUUGCGAUUAGUACUCUUUACCUUUCUUUUCACAAACUCUAAGUCUAAAGAAUGUUACAAAAUCAUAACAAAAGAAAAACUUUCAACAACGGAUCUCUUGGCUCUCGCAUCGAUGAAGAACGCAGC